rnacentral:rRNA from 1 species
GGGCCCGCACAAGCAGCGGAGCAUGUGGUUUAAUUCGAAGCAACGCGAAGAACCUUACCAGGGCUUGACAUCCACAGAAUCGAGUAGAAAUACUUGAGUGCCUUCUAUGAAGGAGCUGUGAGACAGGUGGUGCAUGGUUGUCGUCAGCUCGUGUCGUGAGAUGUUGGGUUAAGUCCCGCAACGAGCGCAACCCCUGUUGGUAGUUACCAGCGUAAAGACGGGGACUCUACCGAGACUGCCGUGGAUAACACGGAGGAAGGCGGGG